rnacentral:rRNA from 1 species
CCUGCCCACUGAUUGUUUAAAGGGCCGCGGUAUACUAACCGUGCGAAGGUAGCAUAAUCAUUAGUCUUUUAAUAGGAGUCUGGUAUGAAUGGUUGUACGAGAAUUUAACUGUCUUUAUUAUAAAAAUUGAAAUUAACUUUUAAGUUAGAAGGCUUAAAUGAAUUAGGGGGACGAUAAGACCCUAUAAAGCUUUAUAUUAUUAGCUAUGUUAGAAGAUAAAGACAAUUAAAUUUUAAAAUAGCUGGAGUAUUGUGCUGGGGCGGCAAAGAUAUGUUGAGUAACUGUUUAUAAACGUAACACUUAUUUGUGAAAUUUAAUUGAUCCUUGUUGAAGAUUAGAAGGUAAAGUUACUUUAGGGAUAACAGCGUAAUCUUUCUUGAGAGUUCAAAUCGAGAGAAGGGGUUGCGACCUCGAUGUUGAAUUAAAAUUCCUUUUUAGUGCAGAAGUUAAAAAAGGAGGUCUGUUCGACCUUU